rnacentral:rRNA from 2 species
GAAGUGUGGACGCCAGUCUGCACGGAGCCAUCCUUGAAAUACCACCCUUUAACGUUUGAUGUUCUAACCCGGGUCCAUAAUCUGGAUCGGGGACCGUGUCUGGUGGGUAGUUUGACUGGGGCGGUCUCCUCCCAAAGAGUAACGGAGGAGCACGAAGGUUGGCUAAGCAUGGUCGGACAUCAUGCGGUUAGUGCAAAGGCAUAAGCCAGCUUGACUGCGAGAGUGACGGCUCGAGCAGGUACGAAAGUAGGUCUUAGUGAUCCGGUGGUUCUGAAUGGAAGGGCCAUCGCUCAACGGAUAAAAGGUACUCCGGGGAUAACAGGCUGAUACCGCCCAAGAGUUCAUAUCGACGGCGGUGUUUGGCACCUCGAUGUCGGCUCAUCACAUCCUGGGGCUGAAGUAGGUCCCAAGGGUAUGGCUGUUCGCCAUUUAAAGUGGUACGCGAGCUGGGUUUAGAACGUCGUGAGACAGUUCGGUCCCUAUCUGCCGUGGGCGCUGGAAGAUUGAGAGGGGUUGCUCCUAGUACGAGAGGACCGGAGUGAACGCACCACUGGUGUACGGGUUGUGAUGCCAAUUGCAUUGCCCGGUAGCUAAGUGCGGAAGAGAUAACCGCUGAAAGCAUCUAAGCGGGAAACUUGCCUCGAGAUGAGUCUUCCCUGACCCUUUAAGGGUCCUGAAGGAACGUUUGAGACUAAGACGUUGAUAGGCUGGGUGUGUAAGCGCAGCGAUGCGUUGAGCUGACCAGUACUAAUGAACCGUGAGGCUUAACCUG